rnacentral:rRNA from 1 species
UACGGAGGGGGCUAGCGUUGUUCAGAUUUACUGGGCGUAAAGGGUGCGUAGGCGGACCAUCAAGUCAGGGGUGAAAGGCCUGGGCUCAACCCGGGAAUUGCCUUUGAAACUGAAGGUCUAGAGUCCGAGAGAGGUUAGCGGAAUUCCCAGUGUAGAGGUGAAAUUCGUAGAUAUUGGGAAGAACACCAGUGGCGAAGGCGGCUAUCUGGCUCGGUACUGACGCUGAGGCGCGAAAGCGUGGGGAGCAAACAGG